AUUGAACGCUGGCGGCAUGCUUUACACAUGCAAGUCGAACGGCAGCGCGGGCUUCGGCCUGGCGGCGAGUGGCGAACGGGUGAGUAAUGCAUCGGAACGUGCCCAGUAGUGGGGGAUAGCCCGGCGAAAGCCGGAUUAAUACCGCAUACGACCUGAGGGUGAAAGCGGGGGACCGAAAGGCCUUGCGCCAUUGGAGGGGCCGAUGUCGGAUUAGCUAGUUGGUGGGGUAAAGGCUUACCAAGGCGACGAUCCGUAGCUGGUCUGAGAGGACGACCAGCCACACUGGGACUGAGACACGGCCCAGACUCCUACGGGAGGCAGCAGUGGGGAAUUUUGGACAAUGGGGGCAACCCUGAUCCAGCCAUGCCGCGUGCGGGAAGAAGGCCUUCGGGUUGUAAACCGCUUUUGUUCGGGAAGAAAUCCUCUGGGCUAAUACCCCGGGGGGAUGACGGUACCGGAAGAAUAAGCACCGGCUAACUACGUG
rnacentral:rRNA from 1 species